GCCAGGUGUGGUGGUGCACACCUGUAAUCCCAGCAGCUCGGGAGGCUGAGGCAGAGGAUUGCAAGUUCAAGGUCAGCCUCAGCUUCUU
rnacentral:sRNA from 1 species